AUACGGAGGAUCCGAGCGUUAUCCGGAUUUAUUGGGUUUAAAGGGUGCGCAGGCGGGAGAUUAAGUCGGCGGUGAAAUUUUGUAGCUCAAAUGUAAAAGUGCCCUCGUAACUGGGUUUCUUGAGUGUCAAUGGAGUAGGCGGAAUUUGUGGGGGAGCGGGGAAAUGCAUAGAUAUCACGAGGAACUCCGAUUGCGCAGGCAGCUUACUAAACUACUACUGACGCUCAGGCACGAAGGCGUGGGGAUCAAACAGGAUUAGAUACCCUGGUAGUCCACGCAGUAAACGAUGAUUACUAGCUGUUUGCGAUACAAUGUAAGCGGCUGAGCGAAAGCGUUAAGUAAUCCACCUGGGGAGUACGUUCGCAAGAAUGAAACUCAAAUGAAUUGACGGGG
rnacentral:rRNA from 1 species